ensembl:lncRNA
GCGCGGGCACUAUAUCUCCCGGCGGAGGAGCACACGGCAGCUCUCGGCACACGCCCCACAACGCGCUCUGUAGCCGGCUGCUUAGUUGGCGCUGCUGAGGCUUCUUUCCUCGGUCAGUUUGACAAGGGCGCUCUGAUAGGCCAGCGAGACCCUGCAGUGGUUGGCCGGAAAGCGUCGAGCCGCCUGAUUGGCCGCGCCGCACCUGCAAUGCGUCAAGCCGCGGCGGGCGUGGAGGGCUCCGCGUGAAUGGCCGUGGCCGGCGGGGCAGGGAGCGGCUCCGCCUAGGGCCGCCAUCUUUACUAGUGGCAGCGCGGACCACCCUGGACGCACAGGGGCUUUUCACGGCGCUCUCGGGCCAAUAGAAAAAGGGUCUAUCACAGGAGUUUUGUUUGGGGUUCCUUUGCCCUUUCUACUUUGCGGUGGGUGGCUUUGGUUUUGCUCUGGCCCCAGGGACGCGGUGCGGGGAGACUGCGAGGGCUCGCGGCUCGGAGUUCAGGGCAGAGGGACCCCAGGGCGGAGAGGGCGUGACUGGAGUUUUAGCUGCCGCUGCAGUAAAACCACCCGGUUUGCGUGCUCUCGGCGUGCGCUGGGAGGGACACUUGAUUCCUCUCAAUUUCCAGAAGCGGCAGUGAGGUUUGCUUCCUGGGCAUGUUGCUCUCGCAGGAAAGCAAUUCUGGAAAGCUCUCUUGAAUACGUCAUGCUUGUUGCUCACGCCGUGCGCGGUCCCGCCCGCACGGACUGCGGUUUUGCUGUUGAGAAGUGUAAAUCAAACGGCCCUCUUGGGAACAAGUUCUCGGCUCCAGAGACAGUGGCCUGCAGGGGCAAAACUGCAGUGCUGGGAGUCGCCACUUUGCUUGCUGUGUGAAGUACAGCAAAGGACUGAAUCUUCUGGAGCCUCGAUUUCUUCUCCAGUAUGAAGAGAAUCAAAUCUAUCUCAGAGUCCUUGUGAGGAUUGCAUGAGACAUGAGUGUGCCAGCACUGUGUAAAUUGUGGAACUAUUGACGUAAUGAUAUUCAGUUACUAAAGCAUUAUUGAGUCCCCGUAACUGUCUGACCUUGUGAGAGGAAGAUUUUCUUUCGAGAGUUUUCUACUUUGUGGGAAGAACAGAUGGCCAAACUCAGAUCCAAAAUAAACUUUAAAUGGCAUAGUUCCUUCUUAAUUGAAGGCGUAGUAUUACAGAGCCUUAUUAGCAUGCAGUGCCAGAUUUGAGGGCUCUCAGGGUGACUAGCUCAUCACAGUUUGCCUUGGACUUUCGUGGUUUUAGUAUCCAAGGCCCGUGUCCUAGAAAGGCCCUCUGUCCCAGGCAGACUGGGACACUUGGUCACCUUUGUACUGUUUUCAGUGCUGCAAAAUGGGAAGAUGAACAGAAUGGGAAGUGAAGAUCCCACCAUGUAGAAGCAAUUAGGUUUCCUUGCAGCUGGAGGCUACUGGGCACAAGAAAAUGGAUGUCCUUGUGCCCGUAUGAUAAGUGUGGGCUGACACCUGAAACUCAGCACGUCCGAAGUCACACUGAUGAUUUUAUUUAUCUUUAUGGUUCUUCCUUCUCUCAGUUCCUGCACAUUUUAAAAAUUUCUUGUUUAAUUCUGAUCUUUAUCUCUGGUGAAAGCUUUACUGAGCUUUUAGUCACUUUAGAGUGCACAAGUUUUCUUUUAUGCCAUGGACCCCUUUGCCAGUCUGAUGAAGCCUAAUACUGCUAUAGUUUGUUGUCCAUAUUCAUAGUUGAAGACAUGCUACAUUUCACUUAGAGGUUAGUGAAAAUAAAGAUCGUCUACUUUGCCAUCCAAGUUCAUGGACCCUCUGAAUUGUCUCCAUGAGUCCAUGUUGAGAACCUCUGCUCCUUCUCCAUUGCCCCAAUGCAGUUCUCUUUCCACUGUCCCCUUUUACGUUCCCACUGCCACCACCAUGGUUCAAGACACUGUUGCUGUUUUCCUAACUGUUGCAGACUGGUCUCCCACCCCUAGUUCCAUCUUAUGCCCAGCUGAUGGAGUAGUUUUUCUAAAGCAUGCAUCUGACUGUAUAAUUUCCCACCUCAAACCUCCCAUGGCUUCCCAUGGCCUCUGGGAUUAAGUCCAGAUUCCUUAGGAGUUCCUUUAGGGCCCUCCAUAAUCUGGCCUUUUUACUUCUAAUCACCUACUCCCGUUUACAUCUCCUAAGUUUCAGCCACAUGAAUUGUUCCUCAAUCUUUGUGUUUUUUCUCCCUCCAUCCGUUAUCCACGUUGCUCUCUUGACCUAGAUUUCUGAUUUCUACCAUCUCUGCCUGACAAAGUUCUAAUACCCUUAAAGGCUUACUUCAAAUGUGAAAUCAGCUAAAAUAACCUGUUCCUAUGCUGGACUCUCUUAGCACUUUAUUUCAUCCUAUUCUGUUACCACAUUCUACUUUUAUUAUGAGUAUUUAAUACUUAUUCCAUAAAUACUUGUCAAGUACCUGUUGUCAGUGUGGCCCUGUUCUAGGGUCCGUGGGGAUAUAAAAUGAAACCGAUUUGGAUCUUGGUUUUCAAAGGACUUAAUUUUAGGUUGGGGGAUAAUGUGAACCUAAGUAACAUUGUUUUCAAGGUGGAAGAAAAGAAGUAUUUCAAGAGUCCAGAGGGAGAACUCACUCUGCUAGAGGGAUCCGAGAAGGCUUUGUGGAGGAGGUGGCGUCCAAGCUAGCUUGGAGGAUCAGCAGCCUGUGUGGAUGCACACGGGGAAGGCAUUCCACCCAGAGGGAAUACCACGAACAAAGAGAGGAGACUGAAAGGAGCAGGGUGUGUUGGCAAAGGGGAAGUUUUGUCUGUUAAUAAGGGGCCUCAUGGAAGACCGGACUGGUGUCAGGUUUGUUAAGGCUGCCUAGAGAAUGGCCACAUGUUCCAGGCAAGAAGAUAAGACUGUCCUGUACGCAUGGAAUCCAUUGACAGGUUUCAACAAGCGACUGAAAAAAUUAAGCUGAAAAGUGAUGAGAAUGGAUGGUUUUCCAAUGCAACUUGGAUGAGUGUUUGUGGAAUUCUCUCCUUCCACCCCCUGCUGACGCACCUUAGCAUUUCUCUUCUGUCACAUAAAGGAUCCAAAAACACAGAACUUCUGUUCACAAUGAACACGGGGGAGUUAGACAGUAGGAAACAUUUUUCAACUCUUUCAAAACUGUAACUUUAAAAUAUUGCAAAUGAAAGACCAAGGGAAACAGACUGCUUCCCAAGUGAAUUGUGGAAUUUGUGUCUAAUUAACUUUCUUUUGUCCAAAACAGAUCCAAAUAAAGUUAUUUUGCCUCCCUUCCCACUAAUAUAAUUUGAGACACUGAAAUAUUCUAAGGAUUGCUUUUGAUGGGCAUCCUGAAAUUUUAUUUGGGGCAAAAAUGGUAAUUCUUCUGUUUAAGGUUGCUGAUUUCAUGAAGCUUUUCAAACCGUGCUCUGUUUCCCACUGGUUUUCAAUUUGUUUGCAAUAUGCUUCAGUGUUUGUGGAGGUUUUAAUCCCUUUCCAGCUGAAACGUGAUUAUUAUAGUACAGUAGAAGGCAGCAUUUGGACAUGGCUGAUGGUGCAAGCACUUGCUGUAAUUAAUUUUCAUCGGUAUGGAUCCUUACAGCUGAAUCAAACAGCAGCAGCCCAUAUCAAUCGUAGAGAAAUAUAGGGGGAUUCUCUCCAAACCGUUUUAGCUUCUUGGGGCUCCAUUUUUUAGCUGAAUAGUGACGUGGGCUGAGAUUACCUCCUUCCUGCUGCCUCCUGGAAGGUUAAUGCUUUCUCGCAUCAUCUCAUGAUUUAAUUAUCAGACCCCGUUUCUUUAGAAUUCUCUCUCCUCUUGUUUGGCUAAGUCCUAUUAUUGACUUCCAGGAAACAGUUUAAAGUAUUAUUUCCACGUUGAGCCCAAUCAAGAC